CCUACGGGAGGCAGCAGUGAGGAAUAUUGGUCAAUGGGCGAAAGCCUGAACCAGCCAUGCCGCGUGCAGGAAGACGGUCCUAUGGAUUGUAAACUGCUUUUAUUUGGGAAUAAACCUCUGGUCGUGACCGGAGCUGAAGGUACCAAAUGAAUAAGCACCGGCUAACUCCGUGCCAGCAGCCGCGGUAAUACGGAGGGUGCAAGCGUUAUCCGGAAUCAUUGGGUUUAAAGGGUCCGCAGGCGGGCUUAUAAGUCAGUGGUGAAAGCCUACGGCUUAACUGUAGAACUGCCAUUGAUACUGUAAGUCUUGAAUUCGGUCGAAGUGGGCGGAAUGUGUAGUGUAGCGGUGAAAUGCUUAGAUAUUACACAGAACACCGAUAGCGAAGGCAGCUCACUAGGCCUGGAUUGACGCUCAGGGACGAAAGCGUGGGGAUCAAACAGGAUUAGAUACCCUGGUAGUCCACGCCGUAAACUAUGAUUACUCGUUUUCGGCGAUAUACUGUCGGAGACUAAGCGAAAGUGAUAAGUAAUCCACCUGGGGAGUACGAUCGCAAGGUUGAAACUCAAAGGAAUUGACGG
rnacentral:rRNA from 1 species